UAGAUGAGUAUCUCUACUCAUCAUCCAUGUCAUGUGAAAACCUCAUGCUAACUUCUGCAGAAAGCCACCAAAAAAAUGAAAAAUAAAAUUAGACAAAAAGGUUGGAGAGAAUAUGAAAUAACUAAUUAGAGAGAGCAGAACCAUAGUAACCAAUCGGGAAAGAUGCUUUUAAAUUCAAGAAAAAACAUUUAAGAGAAAGUGAAAAAAAAAACCAUCAAUUUUCAAUUAUUUUUCAGUCUUAUAGUUGGGAUUACACAGAAAAUAUAACUAAAAUCCCCAACUUUCUCAGAAAACUACAACUAUUUUUACAAAUUUCCAUCACCCAACAUUGAAAAAUGAAAAUUAAGAAGCAACACAAAAGCAGGCAAACAACAGAAUAAAAGAACAAAACACGUGAGAACCGAAACGUUAAAAACAACACAUACCCAUUCAAAAACAAAAAAUCCCAGAAAAUCUGUAUAUUAGCACUCCCUGCAAUACCCCAAAAUCAGAAAAUUAGAAAAUUUAGUUUGAUAACAUUGUAACUUAAGAAACCUCUAAAUUUCUAGUCAAAGGAAAAUUAAUACCACCUCUGCAUAAAAAAUAAUCAGAAGAUAAAAACUCAAAUUCAUAAAGCAUUUGUUCAAAGUAUUUAUUAGAGAAACUUACAUAUGGAUGAAGGUGUCGAUCUCUUGUAUCAUGUAGAGCAGCAUUGCCUGGACUUCGCGAAUAUAAUAGGUUCUCAGCAUUCAAAUGAUUUUCAUACACUUUGCAAAAAACCCGACCAUAUAACUGCACAGAAAAAUUAAAAAAAAAUUAUAAUGAUAAAUUCGAAUCUAUAGUAAAAUAAAGAACAAAGAAAAAGUCACUUAUUAUAAAUCACCUACUUUGCUUCAUCAUCGUCUGCACAAUCUUCUGCCAAUUCAUACCCAAAUAUCCAUACGAUCUAACAAAUAAAUCGCCUGAAAAAACAUAUGAAAUCCAAACUCCAGCAGUUUUGAAGUAACCUAAAAUAAAAAUUAUUCUUAUAGAUACAAAGCAACUAAACAAAAUUUAUACCUUUCUCUUUUUUGGGAUUUGAAAUUCUCGAGAGCCCCAUCCUCAUUUUCUUUAGUCCAGACAACAGAUUGAGAAGCAUCUUUACAGAAUACACACAUGCAUGAGUCAAAGUUGCUUGAUUUGACAUUCGGCCAUGAAAACGAAGAAAGGGAGAGGUGGUGUGCUUUACCUUUAUCGCCGAUGGGAUUUGCGGAGUCCUCCGUGAAGGCAGAGUCAUCGAUGAUGAGUGCAGAGCCGAUCUGAGCAAGGCACCGGGAGAUGGUGAUGGAUCUUGAUCCAGUUUGGGGGUUGAACUUUUGGAGAUCGAUUUAAUUUCUUGUUUCAAAAGUGUUAAUCGCAGAAGACGUAGUAGAGACGUUUGCGGGAGGUGUGUUAGGGAAGGAGAGGGCUAGAGUUUUUUUAGAAAGAAGCAGACGUCUGAGAGCUUGGCUUCGAAAUGGAACGAAGAGUCCAGAAGGACCAUAAUUUCUAGAACCACAUCAAUGCGUCGAGAUCCCAUAGAAGCAGGUUUCUUUUCCACGAAGACCAACACGUGUAUACAAAGGGUAAAAUUGUAAAUGCACUGUACAAAACGGAAAAAUAGCUGUGAAUGGGCAGCAGCUCAAGGGCAGUUCCGCCAAAACACUGCUCGUGAACAGUGCUUUUCCACCGGGUUUUAGUAUAUAGAUAAUAUCAAUACAUUUGAUAUUUUAUAUCAAGACAAACUUUUGAAAUACAAUUUCAACAUACAUAUAUAGGUAAGCAAACAUGGCAACAAACAGUCUUGCGAUAUAUAUAUAUAUAUGAUCGUCGUGCUUGUAUUUGAUUAUAUAAUUUUCUCAGACAAAUUAUACCCAAGAUAAACUUUAUAUGUAGGGUUUAACUAUCCGAAAUGAUUAUGUAAUCUUUUUUAGCUUUAAAAAAAGGGUUUAUAAAUAAUUUCAUAAUAAUUGGAUAUAAAUGAAAAUUUUGAAAAUAGAGAGAUAAAAGAAAAACAUAGAAAAUAUGAGAUAAUUAAAAA
rnacentral:lncRNA from 1 species